CACGUAGGGCGCAAGCGUUGUCCGGAAUUAUUGGGCGUAAAGAGCUCGUAGGUGGUUUGUUACGUCUGCUGUGAAAACCUAGGGCUUAACCCUGGGCUUGCAGUGGAUACGGGCAGACUAGAGGUAGGUAGGGGAGAAUGGAAUUCCUGGUGUAGCGGUGAAAUGCGCAGAUAUCAGGAGGAACACCGGUGGCGAAGGCGGUUCUCUGGGCCUUACCUGACACUGAGGAGCGAAGGCGUGGGGAGCGAACAGG
rnacentral:rRNA from 1 species